GCUAACUCCAGCUGUUGGUGGCAGCUUGGUGGUCGUAUGUGUGGUGCCAUUUAUUUAACCUUUAGAAGUGACAUCACAUAUACGGUGGCUAAACUGCUACAUGGGACAACAAUGAAAAC
rnacentral:pre_miRNA from 15 species